UCUCCUGGAAACGGGUGGUAAUGCCGGAUGUUCCACAUGAUCGCAUGUGAUUGUGGGAAAGAUUCUAUCGGCGUGGGAUGGGGUCGCGUCCUAUCAGCUUGUUGGUGAGGUAACGGCUCACCAAGGCUUCGACGGGUAGCCGGCCUGAGAGGGCGACCGGCCACAUUGGGACUGAGAUACGGCCCAGACUCCUACGGGAGGCAGCAGUGGGGAAUAUUGCACAAUGGGCGCAAGCCUGAUGCAGCGACGCCGCGUGAGGGAUGGAGGCCUUCGGGUUGUAAACCUCUUUUGUUUGGGAGCAAGCCUUCGGGUGAGUGUACCUUUCGAAUAAGCGCCGGCUAACUACGUGCCAGCAGCCGCGGUAAUACGUAGGGCGCAAGCGUUAUCCGGAUUUAUUGGGCGUAAAGGGCUCGUAGGCGGCUCGUCGCGUCCGGUGUGAAAGUCCAUCGCUUAACGGUGGAUCUGCGCCGGGUACGGGCGGGCUGGAGUGCGGUAGGGGAGACUGGAAUUCCCGGUGUAACGGUGGAAUGUGUAGAUAUCGGGA
rnacentral:rRNA from 1 species